UACGGGGGGAGCAAGCGUUGUUCGGAUUUACUGGGCGUAAAGGGCGCGUAGGCGGUCAGCACAAGUCAGUUGUGAAAUCUCCGGCUUAACUCGGAAAGGUCAACUGAUACUGUGCGACUAGAGUGCGGAAGGGGCAACUGGAAUUCUCGGUGUAGCGGUGAAAUGCGUAGAUAUCGAGAGGAACACCUGCGGCGAAGGCGGGUUGCUGGGCCGACACUGACGCUGAUGCGCGAAAGCCAGGGGAGCGAACGGG
rnacentral:rRNA from 1 species